AGAACGAACGCUGGCGGCAUGCCUAAUACAUGCAAGUCGAACGAAGGCUUCGGCCUUAGUGGCGCACGGGUGCGUAACGCGUGGGAAUCUGCCCCUUGGUUCGGAAUAACAGUUGGAAACGACUGCUAAUACCGGAUGAUGACGAAAGUCCAAAGAUUUAUCGCCAAGGGAUGAGCCCGCGUAGGAUUAGCUAGUUGGUGAGGUAAAGGCUCACCAAGGCGACGAUCCUUAGCUGGUCUGAGAGGAUGAUCAGCCACACUGGGACUGAGACACGGCCCAGACUCCGUACGGGAGGCAGCAGUAGGGAAUA
rnacentral:rRNA from 1 species